rnacentral:misc_RNA from 1 species
GAUGAAGAACGCAGCGAAAUGCGAUAAGUAAUGUGAAUUGCAGAAUUCAGUGAAUCAUCGAAUCUUUGAACGCACAUUGCGCCCCCUGGUAUUCCGGGGGGCAUGCCUGUCCGAGCGUCAUUACAACCCUCAAGCUCAGCUUGGUAUUGGGCCCCGCCGACCCGGCGGGCCCUAAAGUCAGUGGCGGUGCCGUCCGGCUCCGAGCGUAGUAAUUCUUCUCGCUCUGGAGGUCCGGUCGUAUGCUCGCCAGCAACCCCCAAUUUUUUUCAGGUUGACCUCGGAUCAGGUAGGGAUACCCGCUGAACUUAAGCAUAUCAAUAAGCGGAGGA